rnacentral:rRNA from 1 species
UACGAAGGGGGCUAGCGUUGUUCGGAAUUACUGGGCGUAAAGCGCGUGUAGGCGGACCCGCAAGUCGGACGUGAAAUCCCUGAGCUCAACUCAGGAACUGCAUCCGAAACUGCGGGUCUGGAGUGGUGGAGAGGGAAGCAGAAUUCCUGGUGUAGAGGUGAAAUUCGUAGAUAUCAGGAGGAACACCGGUGGCGAAGGCGGCUUCCUGGACACUUACUGACGCUGAGACGCGAAAGCGUGGGGAGCAAACAGG